AACAAAUCAGUGUGAGAGAAGACAUAAGGGCAGCUACCAGAAAAUUCUGACAGAACCUCCAGAGGCAAAUAAACCAGAAGUAAUUAUGGGCAGCUUCAGGAAAAUUGCCUUCCUUGUGGGGCCAAAGACUGAACUCACACUGAAUGAACUCACAGCAGGAAACCUCAAGGCCUUUUUGGGACAAGUCAUGUCAUUCCAGAGCACUGUGUGGGAAAGGAACCAAGCAGUUCCUCCAACUGCUUCUACACUAUAGAGCAGCUACUGCCUUUCUGCAAGGUAAAGGCUAGACCUGAUGAACAAAAGGAGAUUUUCAUGUCCCCAAGAUGUUAAAUACACACUGACAGCCAAUCCAAAUAUUAUGAAAUUAAAUAACCUCCUCUAUUCUGCAUAAUAAAACCAAAUUGCUACAGUGGUGUCACUGAAUGCCACAUACAGAGAGGAUGAAGAAUCAGAGCAGCCCAUAGAUUUUUCUCCAGUCCUGCCAGCAGCACAUCUGCCUGCAACAAGGAAUUCCUAUAUCCAUGUGUUUCCUGUCAACCUGUGUGACAAAUGCAGCACACUCUUUGUGCUCCCAGCUAGCAGAGGGAGCAAAUGACAUAUAGA